AGUCAUGCCGGACUAAUAUUAUCUCUCUUUUUUGAUAGAGUUACAAGCUUGGUAGAUGCAGGGAAUGCUGUGGAUGAAGCAUAUCUUGAUUUCAGUAAGUCCCCCAUGACCUUCUUGCAAGCAAACUAGUCAAAUGUGAGCUAGGUAAUGCUACUAUUAGGUGGAUCUGUAAUUGGUUAAGUGACCAAACCCAAAGUGUGCUCACUAAUGGUUUCUCUUCAUCUUGGAAAGAAGUGACUAAUAGAGUGCCGCAGGGUUCAGUGCUGGGACAUCUUUAUUAAUGAUUUUGAUGAAGGUUUAGAGGGCAUGUUUAUCAAGUUUGCAGAUGACACCAAAUUAGGAAGGAUAGCUAAUACUGCACGCUGCCCGGACAUUUCCUCGAUGGAGCCCGCCGGAUGUCCAAGAUAAAAAACACAGAGCUUCCACUACACUUGUUUGGCUUAAUUAAAUGCUUUCUUGAAAAGGAAUAUCUUCACACCCUUCCAGAAUGCCAAUAAAGAAAGGGCCGAUCUUAACACACCAGGCAGUGUGUUCCAUUGAGUAGAAUUGCCCCUGAAAACAAGCCUUCACUAGUCCUCUUAAAGUUCAUGUCAGAAGGUGUCUGGGUCAAUACCAAAGUGUCCCCACUGGACCUUAGGUGCAAGAAGAACAAUGGCUGUGGAGACAAUAUGAUAAAAGAGGUGCCAGAAGGGAACAAAGGAAGUGAAAAGAUGGGGCAAAGUUCAGAGAAAAAGCUUGUGUGUGCAUGCUCAAAGGUGUUGGCAUCAAUUCAGUCUGGCACUUUCCACCCAGCAAGGUGACUUGAUCAAAUAAAUAUGUUGCAACAAUCUCCUGCCUUCAGCAUUUGAUUGAAUCCAAAACUCUGAAGGUUUUGGGGCUAAUUAAUAAUAGAGGGACACGGCAGCAAGCCCCAACAAAAUGGUUUAUAAAUAUAUGUAAAUAAAUAAAUUGUUAAGCAGUAGAUCUAUGCAAAUAAAAGACAUGGUUGGUAAGUUACUGUUAAGACUGUAAUACAUC
rnacentral:lncRNA from 1 species